rnacentral:ncRNA from 1 species
AAUACAAUGCGUGAAAAUGGUGCUGAUGCUUAAUAGGGAAUCUAGUGGAAAACUAGAACUGUCCUCGCAACUGUAAAUGAUGUACGAAAUAAGUGGAUCCACUGUAUGUAACCAUAUGGGAAGGGCUUAGAGUAGGUUGAUAUCAUAAGUCAGUAGACCUGCCGUUUUCUGAUGUUUCAA